CGCAGAGAAAAGGCAGAAGCGGAACGGCAGGAAGGGCGGCCGCUCAGGAAGAGACAGGAAGCAGAUCAGAGGAAGCCGGGAAGCCAGGCUGGGCCCGGGUGGUGGGAGCUCGGGGUCCGAGGUGAACGUGAGUUUAAUGUGGCAGACGAGAGGACACAGCGUUUCUGUCUCCCAGCACCUGUUGAUGGCUCUGUGUUUUAGUCCAGGUCGCUGUGGAGGAGAUGGCGCUUUCCCACGGGCCAUCUCUGCAGCCCGGCGAUGUGAGCUGCGAGCAGAGCCCGUCACCUCAGUUUGCAGACCUUCUAAAGGCUGAAUACAAGCUGGCAUGCCUGAGCUUUUGAAGAAGAGGCAGCUCGGGCCGUGAUCUGGUCCCAUCACAGCACCAAGGGCAGGACCUGAGGGCGUCUUCCAGGGCACACAGCACAGAGCGGCCAGGCCAGCUCUGCACCCGUCUCUCUGAGCCCAGACAGGGCGGCAGACUCGCGUGCACCAGAGAUGGUAAUCCUGCGGCAAUGAUGCCAGCGCCAGGCCCUCCCACCGCCUCGUGCGGUCAUUAGAGCAGCCGGGGUCAGUGCCUCGAUUCCCUGUGUAGAAAGAAAGAAACAGAUGGCAGGUGCUUUGGUAUUCACACAGCUAAGACCUGAGAACCAGACCCCGGGGCUGUGGGCUUCCACCCGUGCUCUGGCCACCGGGGUGCACGGCUCUGCUGCAGAACAAAGCCAGAAGGAGUCCGAGGAUCCCUCCCCACCUCACGUGCAGUGAUUCUGGGGUGAAGAGCUUUGAAUUCAGCUCCUCCUUUAAAAAAGACAAGCCGUUUAACUAGGUCAGGUAAACACAGGGAUAUUUGGACUAGCUCAGCCCAGCUCUGAAGGCUCAUGGCGGAACGUCUGAAUUAGGAUGGGGAAGGACGCCGUUAUCCAUUAACUCUGUCCCGGUUCACGGGGCAGGUGGCUCUGGGAACGGGCAGCCGACGUGGCCCACCUUCAGCUGCCCAGGAUCUCCCCGGAGCAGCAGCAACGGGGCCACACGACCAGGCACCUCCAAGCACCCGCGUCACAGGGUGCCAAACCUUGGCUGGAGAACCUGAGGGGCAGAGUCCGCAUGAACCGGAGCAGGGCCCCACGGUCCUUGUCCCCACCACUACGUCCUCCGCGGGAAACCUUUAGCCAAAGAGUAAGUUUAAUCCGAGAAGGGAGAAAAUGCAGAAACGAAGGAAAACAGUCAAAGGAGACCAAACAAUCAUAGCUUAGUCAUUGAGCACAGUCAAGGGCCUUUAGCUCUGCUUUAAGGGCUGCAGGUCAUAUUCUGAGCCACAUCCCGUGAGCUGUACCGAAGCCCCCGCCAGGUGAAGGAGGUUGACUGCAUCACGACCAAACUGAAGCCACGCCAUACGCUGUCCCACUUCACACGAUUCCGAGAACUGGCCUCAAAGAAACGGGAACAAACCCUGCAACUAAGGGUUAACUGUACUUAAAACAGCCAAGGUGACGCCCAUCAGACCACCACAUUCCCGAUUUCAAGACGACUGUCGGAGCUGACUGCGCUGUCCUGCCCCCCGCUCCGCCUGCACACCCCGAAACUGCCCUUUAAAAGCCCCUGGCCCCUGAGCAGCCAUCGGGAGCUGGUUCUCAGACAGGAGCCCACCCUCUGCCCCGGCUGCCGGACUCCGAAAUAAAGCAAACUUUCCUU